GAUUGAUGGGGAUGGUUGGGGGCAUUUGUAUUUAACUGUCAGAGGUGAAAUUCUUGGAUUUGUUAAAGACAAACUAAUGCGAAUGCAUUUGCCAAGGAUGUCUUCUUUAAUCAAGAACGAAAGUUAGGGGAUCGAAGACGAUUAGAUACCGUCCUAGUCUUAACCAUAAACUAUGCUACCAAGAAAUUGGAGGCGGUUGCCUGUUGAUUCCUUCGGCAUUUUUUGAGAAAUCAAAGUCUUUGAGUUCCAGGGGGAGCAUGGUCGCAAGACUGAAACUUAAAGGAAUUGACGGAAGGGCACCACCAGGAGUGGAGCCUGCGGCUUAAUUUGACUCAACACGGGGAAACUCACCAGGUCCAGACAUAGUAAGGAUUGACAGAUUGAUAGCUCUUUCUUGAUUCUGUGGGUGGUGGUGCAUGGCCGUUCUUA
rnacentral:rRNA from 1 species